ensembl:snRNA U6 U6 spliceosomal RNA
GUGCUCGCUUCAGCAGCACGUAUACUAAAAUUAGGAUGGUGCGGAGAAGAUUAGCAUGGCCCCUGCGCAAGGGUGACACACAAAUUCAUGAAGCAUUCCAUAUUUUU